CGUUUUGUCGAACCGCGGAGGCCGCUGAAGACGUUCCCAACUUAUUCACCCUCCCGAGGGUCUUGCUGCGUCGCCGAGAAGGACCGAUGGGGAAGGGGGACGGGAGAGAGGAAGCGUGCAUAGGGCUUCGAGGGAACUGGUCCCCCCCGCGCGCUCCCCGAGACUCGGGGACGGCCUGGAAACUUUGGGGGUCCCUUCCUCCGUGCACCCUCCCCCCGCGCCGCCCCCCGCCUCCCGCGCCAGCUUCCCUACUGGAUUGAAUGCAGGUUCUGGGAAGAUGGGGCUAAGCUUUUUAAGAAACCCGCGAAGUGUCCGGAGAGGAAAGUUUGCAAAAAAGUUCUUUUGUUUGAUGUUCCCAGUGGCUGGGGUGAGGGAGCAGACACUACGGGGUUCCGCGACCCGCGGAGGCGCGCAGUCCUGGGUCCUGCUGGGGGCGCGGGGGGAGUGCGUGGAAAAUGCACCCGAAAAUGCCGGGGUGCGGACCCUGGACUCCCAUUUCUGCCGACCCGUCCUACUUGAGGGUCCAGGGGGCUCGCGGGCCAUCAGGGGCGGGAGGGCAUCUCUGUAUGGAUCGCGUUCGAGCGCGGCAGCUGGGCGAGACGGGGGUGCGGAUGGCACUGCACUCGGCCUCGGGCCGCCUGGCCGCUCGCAGCCUGAAGCUUCCAGCCUGACGCGCUCGCUCUCGCGGACCCCGGCCGGGGUGCCCCCAGGCCCGGGGGAGUCUCUUCUCCGGCUCCGGCUGCGGGCAACCCAGCCUCCCUCCCCGGCCUUGGUGGUGGGAACUGGAUUUCCCCUCCUCUGGCUCGAGGGUUGGAGCUUGUUUCCCUACGACGCCCAGUGAGCGCCCUCUACAGGGAAAUGCCUCCUGGGCUUGCCCUUGUGCCUGGCGGCCCCUACCUGGGCGCCUCGAGCUUUGUCCGGCUGGGUGGAACCCCGAAACACCCGCGAGCCCGUCUGCAGCCUCAGCGCGGUCCGGGGCCUCGGGUAGGGAGGACAGCUGUUUCUACCCCCCUCUCGUUCCCCAUACCUCCUCCCUUGGCUACUUAUCAACGUGUCCAUUUCUAAUAAAUCGGACCGUCCCUUCCAAGACAAAUCAUGUCAUCUUUAGGGGUGGUUUUGUAAGGUUUUUUUCCCCCCCUCGCCUUUGGCGUGUUAUUCUUCCCUUCUCUCCCGGCCCCCUCCUUUUUUUUUUUCCUUUUAAAUUGAUACGAUUUAGGAUUGGGAAACCUCUUUGGCACCGAGCAGCCGAUGUGACAUUUAUCAUCAGUGCGGAGGGGCUCUGGGUGUGCUAGCAGGUCGCCAAAGGUUACGCGGAGAUUGGAGAGCGUAGACUGAACACAUUUGGGUGCUCCGGCUGGCUGUAGAGCUCCGAGCUUUAACGGCAUUUCUCUGACAUACGAUCGUUUUUAUCCGUUGGGAUUGGUAAUCUCCCAGCCAGUUAUGAACUUUGGCUCUUUGCACAGAUUCUCUGUUUCUUUCAGAAAAUCAUUAUUGUUCAUCUUGUUGCAAAACAGGGCAAAGGGAGAACUCUAUCUAAAGGUUUUCUAGCGAAGCCUGCGUAAAAAGCUGUGCUGGGCUAAGGAGGUCCCUUUUUGCUGAGUCCUGUUUGGAGAUUUGCUAGAAAGUGUUACUAUUUGAGGAUUCUACAGGAAGAAUAUCUCCCUGGGUUUUUUCUUAAAUCCAACAGUGAUUCAUAAGGAAGCUUUUUGGCUGAAGGAUACCUGUCUUCUCCCGUGACACCCUCCUCCCUGCCCCAACUCUUUGGGGUUCUAGUAUUUCUCAUUUCCAGCCAGAAUUGGAUGCUUUCCAAAUGAGGUGUUUCACCGUGGUAGAUACCAUUUUCAGGAAUUGGAAUAUCAUUCAAAAGGGUGAUUAGAGAUUUUUAAAAUGUCAACUGUAGCAUGAACGAAGACUGUAGCAGAGAGUCUGUGAGGGAGGCAAUUUUUCUCAAAAGCAUCUGUUUCAAGGCCCAGAAAGGCCAGUAGUUCAUUUAAAUUACUUUUCAGUCUCUAUUUGUUUCAAGUAUAGCCGCAUAAAUGAAAGACUUCAUUUUUCAACAUUUUAGCCAUUCUAGUACAUUAUUUCCAGUACUUUUCAUUUUAAUGGGAAAACUGCAACUGUUUUCCAGGGAGUCAGAAAUAGUGAUCAUCUGGACUCAGAGCCUCUCUUUUUUUUGGAAGGAAAAGUGUCCGCAGUGCAUUCUUGAGUUUUAUACCAAGUUCAAGGGGGAAAAGAAAAGGAGAUUCUCAGCAACUAAGGCUCAAGGCUAUCUGUCUGUGGAAGGGAACCAGUGGCCCUUGGUUUCUGCAUGCUGGAGACAGCAGGGAGAGCCUGGUCAUGGCCGUGCAUUUAUACUUCCCACUGACCAAGCGAGGGGAAAGACUGACGGAGUGUGGCAGCAGUGAUAUGCUGCUGUUUUUCUAUCAAUUUUUUACAUGAUUGUUUAUCUUUAGAAAUAAUACAUUGCAGAUUGCUAUAAACACGUAAUGUGAACUGGAGAUAUGUUUAAGAAAAGGAAGUGUUUUGAACUAGUGGAAUUUUAUACCCAUGCUUAGAUGUGUGUAAAUUAAAAGAAACUGUCAAAUCAUUUGGACCCAUGCAUUACCUCUCAUGUAUUAUGAAAGGCAGGCAUUGGAAAGUUUGCAUUUGAAGGAAAAAUUAAAUUGGAACCAUAUAACCUUUUGCAGUUCCUUGAAAAAAAAUAAAUUUUGGCUGCUCUAGUAAUGUAGCUAAUUAUACUUGCUAGGGAAUCUUAGAGGAACAAGGGCUCUUUCUCUGUUAGUUGGAUUUUAGCAGUAGGUAGAUGUCUCUUAGGAAGGAAAGAUCUUAUUAAGAUCAGGUCUGUGGAAGAAUGGGUGUCCAGAGGAAUCUGAGUACACCUUCCAACUCCUGCUUUUGGGACCUGGAACAUGUAAUUUUGAUGGUGCUUGCCAUUUGAGGGACUGUGUAACAUGAUUACACACGUGGCAUCUUGAAUAAUCACUAGUUUGAAAAAGAUUUCAAAAGAUCAUCUUUUUUUUUUUUCCUGGGCAGAACUAGUCCUCAAGUCUCCAGAAGCCCCCCAGUGACCUCACUGGCCAACUUAAGGGGCCAGGAGUCUACUCAAGUUGGCAAAGCCCAAGGCUGACCCAACCACACAGAGCCUGGCCAGCUCUGUCAUUAAGGUUUAUAGGGAGUCCGGUUAAGUCACUGUGCUAUCGGGCUGUCUGCUGGCAAGAAUCUUGGGUCACAAGAGGAAUGUCAUCUGAGAUUAGAUUCUCACGAGAUUGUCUCUCCUGCAUUGCCAAAACUCAAACCAGAAGAUCUUGCCCAUUGUUUUCUUCUUCGUAAGACAGAAGACCUGCUGUUCAUGCCGCUGUUGAAGGUACAUUCAUGUAUUUCAAAACCACCUGAUUCUUUCAUGCACCAGAAGCCAAAUAAGGUUUUAGAGAAAAGCAGGAAGUAAUGAAGAAGAACUGACUUGUUUUUGCAGAAAACAAGCUACUCUUUUUUAGUCGCCUCUGCCAGUACCCUCAUCUUAAUUCUAGACUUUUAGAUUUGAAUCUUGAAGUCAGGUCCCUGAUGUGUUCAUAGUUGUUGAUUUUGUGACCAGUUGACCACUGAAUGCACUGACAUGUUGUUCAUUCCAUGAUAUUUAUUCAGCAUCUACUAAGUGUUUGGCGUAAAGGCGUGAGGAAACCAGGCAGCCCCUCUGUCUUCUUGGAGCUCAUAUGUUGGUGAUCCAGCGCAGGUGCCCAUGGCCUGGGAAGUUGGAGUCUGUUAGACCUGCUGACGCUCAGCUUUGCUGUGGCCCCUGAAGACGGUGUGGUCUGGAAUCAACUGAAUCCCCCAGCCCCAGAGGAGGACCUGGGCUAGUUUGCUGCAAGUUUUGACUCUCUCGACCUCCAGUUUCAUCAACAUUGUAGUGUUGGUGUGAAGAAUAAACGAGUCCAGGGCUUCCCAUCCGUGUAUAUUCCCACUUCCUUCCGUGUCUGUGUCGGUAUCCUUCAGUUGGAUCAAGUUUCUAGCAGGUCAGAAAGAGAGAGUUACAGUGGCAUCAUACGCUUGAGUGCCCCUGGGCAUCUAGAAUGAGAUGGCAUGGGCGGUGAGGCAUGUUGGGGAGCUGUGAGUAGAGAUAGGAGGCAUUUUGAUUCUUUAAGAGUAGAAAUGCAUGGAAGAAUUUCUGGGGUGAUUGCCUAGAGGGGUGAUUGGCUCUGAGUAAGAAAGGAUUCUUGAAAUAGAUGGUGUAUGUCUGUUUUUCCUCUGGUGUCUUAAAGAGUUGAUGAGACUGGGGGAAGGCCUUAAAGCCACUGGGAAAUUCUCCAUUUGAAUCAGCAGAGUGAGGCCAACUGGUAUACCUGUCAGUGCUAUGCGAGCCAGGGCAUGGUCUUAGACUCCAAGCUAUAGAAAAAUGUUAUUAAAAAUGAGAUAUGUUUUCACAUUUCUCUCCUCUGCUGUUGAAUCUGUUCUGUGAGAAAUGUCACAAAGAUGCAGUUGUGUCCUUUAUAAAGCAUUUUGAUGUUUAUUGUCUUUUCUUAUGAUUAUACAGGCAUGUUAAAUAUGAAUAGUACAGAUGUUUAAGGAGAAUGGACAAUUAAUAGAGUUUAGUCUCAUGGUAAGAAUGACACAUAGAACAAGAUACCCAGUGAAAGGAAAAUUAUUUUUUAAAAGUUCUUAUCAAAAAAGAGUAAGUUAAAAAUUGUAUUUUUGUACAAUUUAUUGUUAAGUAUAAAGGCAAUAAAAGUAAACGUAUAAUGUUGAAGGCAAAGGUGAUGUUGUGCACACCCGUAAUUAGCAAUCAUAAUCCCUGUGGGACUUCAGCUUUCCCAUCUAUAAAAUGAUGAGGUGAGCUAGAAGAACUUUCUUUUAUAUUUAUCUUUUUCUAUGUGCUUCAGGGUAUAAUUGGAACAAUGUUAAGAUUAACCUAAUCAAUAAGUGAUUAUUAAGCUCCUGCCAAAUAUUUACUAUUCUAUUACUGGAGCAAGGAACUUACUCAUGUUACAGAAAAGCAAGUCAUUUCUACUAGCUGGUGGUAAUCAGUUAACUUGAGCUAGGUAUUCAUCAUGUACUGGGAUUAUAUACAUCACUCUAAAUAUUCAGGAUCUAAUGUUUAGUGUUUUCCCAUGUAUGUUCUCAUAUAAGCCAGUGUAUUAUAGCCUCAAGAGCAGUUAAUGUGAUAGAACUCACUUUCAUUCUAGAGGGAAGACAGCAUGACUUGUUGAUGCAAUUUGGAGGGCUUUUUGAAGCAUAAACCACUGCAGGGAUCUCAGGCUACUCUUUUGGUUUCUGGCCUUGACCUUCAUUUGCAGAGAUGGGCCUUUAACUGCCUUCCCUAUGAGUUCUUUCUAUAGCACUGGAGCCCAGCGUCAGUGCUGUGAAGACAAGACUCAAUGAGCAGAUGGUAGAGUGGCUCAGAGCCUGCGCAUUGGAGAUAAGACGUGCCUGGGUUAGAAUCCACUUACUGUGUCACCUUGGGCAGGUUUCUUAACCUCUCUGUGCUUAGCUUCCCUAUCCGUAAAGUGGAAUAUCCUAAAAUAGGGUUUUAGGACUAUGUAAGACAGAAUACAUUGGAACUUUAAGCACAGUAGCGUAUCUACACUCUAUGUCACAUGUUGCUGCUGCUGCUAAGUCGCUUCAGUCGUGUUCGACUCUGUGCAACCCCAUAGACAGCAGCCUACCAGGCUCCCCUGUCCCUGGGAUUCUCCAGGCAAGAACACUGGAGUGGGUUAGUCACUAGUAUUCUAAUUCCUGGUUUUCCGCUUCUAAAGUGUGGGGAUUUGACAUACUAUAUGGGCUCAUCUGAUAAGUUCAAGUCCAGAGAGCAGCCCAGAAUAGGCAUGAUAGAACGGUUUUUCAUAGCUGGGUUCUUUCUCUGACUUGGGGAGGCCUAGCUCUACCCUGAGAUAUUGGGGACAUUUUUGUAUUGAUAUACUCGAGAUACUGUGGGUUAGGUUCUAGGCCACCGCAAUAAAGCAAGUAUUGCAAUAAAGCAAAUAUCACAAUAAAGCAAACCACAUGAAUUCUUUGGUUUCCCAGCGCAUAUAAAAGUAUGUUUAUACUAUACUGUAUUCUGUUAUGUUAAAAAAAUAAAUGUACGUUAUCUCAAUCAAAAAUACUGCUAAAAAUGCUGACCAUCAUCUAAGGCUUCAGCAAACUCUAAUCUUUUUGCCGGUGGAGGGUCUUGCCUUGAUGUUGACGGGGCUGCUGACUGAUCAGGGUGGUGGUUACCAAGGGCUGGGGUGGCUGUGGCAGUUUCUUAAAUUAGACAACAGUCAAGUCUGCCACGUAGAUGAACUCUUCCUCCCACGAUUUCUGUGUAGAAUUUGGUGCUGUGUGAUAAUUUUACUCACAGUAGCAGUUCUUUCAAAACUGGAGUCAGUCCUCUCAUACUUUGAUGCUGCUUUAUCAACUUAGUUUAUGUCAUAUCCUAAUCUUUUGUUUUCAUUUCAGAAAGCUCUUUGAAAGAUCAAAAAGGUCUAUGAAGCUAUUCAUAGCGUCUUCAGUAGAUUCCAUCUCAAGAAACCACUUUCUUUGCUUAUCCGUGAGAAGCAACUCCUCAUCCAUUGAAGUUUUAUCAUGAGAUUGCAGCAGUUUGUUCACAUUAUCAGGCUGUGCUUCUAAUUCUAGUUUUCUUGCUAUUUUCAUCCCAUCUGCAGUUACUUCCUCCACUGAAGUCUUGAACCCCUCAAAGUCAUCCCCUCCAAGGGUUGGAGUCAGUUUCUUCCAAAUGCCUGUGACUGUUUAUAUUUUAAUUCUUCCCAUGAAUCACAGAUGUUCUUAAUGGCAUCUAGAAUGGUUAAUCCUUUCCAGAAGGUUUUCAGUUUACUUUGCCCAGAUACGUUAGAAGAAUCACUAUUGAUAGCCUUACGAAACGUAUUUCUUAAAUAGUAAAAGUUGAAAUGAUCCAUGAGCUGCAAAAUGAAUGUUGUGUUUGCAGACAGGAAAACAGCCUUCAUCUCUUCUCUCAGCAAUCACCAGGUGGAUUGUUAGUGAACAGUAACGUUUUGAAA